GUAGGUGAACCUGCGGAGGGAUCAUUACCGAGUGAAGGGCUCCGGCCCGACCUCCAACCCUUUGUCAUCCGACUCUGUUGCCUCGGGGGCGACCCAGCCUUCGGGCGCGGGGCCCCCGGCGGACCCCCUCAACACUGCAUUCUUGCGUCUGAGUAAAUAUUUGAAUCAAUCAAAACUUUCAACAACGGAUCUCUUGGUUCUG
rnacentral:misc_RNA from 1 species